AUUCUUUUUAGACUAUUUUUGCAUUAAAUACAGGUCUUUCUUCUGCCUUCAUGGUUUCCUUAAAAUACGAUGUUAAUUAGUAAAAUCCUGCAAAAACCUGGUCAUUUAUUAGUCAUUUAAAAAAUAUUCCUCUGAGCGAUUUUAAUUCUAUUCCUCUGUAUUAACUAUUCUAACUCUAUAAAAUUGAAGUCCUGGAGACCAAGCUUUUGAGAAUCCCAGGAAGUGUGGCCUAAUACUAGAAAAUCUCAACUUCUGCCUCUCCCCUUUAAGUACACAGUAAGAAAUGCUUGCAUGAAGCAUUUUAGGCUGUGUUCUUAUGAUAAAAUUCAACUUUCAUGAAAUAAAUUAAUCUGAAUCAAGUUGUCCUCAUCUGAAAAUGCCUAGAUUUAUUAGUGCUAGCCCGGCUUUAUUCCACAAACAAUUCUAUUUAAAUUAGGUGUUGGUCUAACAAAUCUGCCUGACCACAGCAAUGACUCACGGACCAUGUAGGAAACAACUUUCACUAAAUUCAAGAUUGCUCAAGUGAAAAGGUGCGCGGGGGAGGGGAGGAAGAGUUGGUUGUCCUCAUCAUUUUUAUUUUUAAGUAAUAUUACAAGUUAUCUAUCCUGCCCCAACUGUUUCCUCAAUUUGGUUGCUUUUCAUUCCACUGUGGUUGGCAUCUUUUGUCAAGGCAGUAAUUUAUUUCUUUUAAUCCGGAUAUAAUGGCCAAAUGGGCGAUCUGACUCACUCAAAUCCCAUCGUUAAAACUUAUCUUGGAAUUAAACAAAAAUGGAUUUUUAAUCGUAGAGCUCAUCAGCCUCAUAGUCUCCACCUCAUUUCUGAAUGGCCUUGUUCGGCUUGCACCUUCUGUGCUUGCUGAACCAAAGCGCGCUGGUCGGCCGCGGCAUCUCCGGAAGGGAUGAAGAGCCUCCGCGCACACGCCCCUUACUUCCCUGUCCCGCACGCGCCACGAGCACGCUUGCAAAAGACGGGGAGGUGGCGGGGACAGAGACAGAGGAAAUGAGAGAGAGAGAACGAAAGAGAAAGGAGAGAGAGGGAGAGAGAGAGGGAGAGAGAAGAGGGGAAGGAGAAGAGAGAAAAAAGAAAAAAAGGUCUGCUCUGGGAUUAUUAUUAUUAUUUGGGUUAAUACUCUUAUCUUUGCAUUCCAGCCGGAAGGUCGGCUCCAAGCCUUCUUUCCUGCCCUCCUCCUUCUUGAAUUGGACACCAUCCCUGUUGCCGCCUCCUGAGUCAGGAAAGGGAUAGAACUUUCCCAGGGAGGUGAGGGGUGUCCCCGUGGCGAUUUCCCGGUUACUUCCUCCCAGCAGAUAUCCCUGUGGAGAGGAAACGUUCCCGACUUCCCUCCCCGCGACCUCCUCCCUAGAAACGAGCGGAGACGUCAGGCUGCUUCUGGGUUUAUUUUGUAAACCCAGACAGUCAACUGCACUUGGCGCAGGCAAAGCCUCCUUGGCCCUUGCCCCAAAGCAAAGCUCUAAGAGGUCCGGGGAUUCCUUGGCCUGGGUGGGGAGAGAGACGUGACCUGUGCGGCCGCCGCGAAGUGGGUCUCCAAGGGUGAGACCCCUCCCUCGGUGGCUGGGCGUGUCCCCUUUAGCCUUCCUGGACCCCAUUACCGCCCGGCUUGGAGCUGGACGAAGGGACGUAAUUGGUAGGCGAGUGGGUUGGGCAUCUUGACUCAAGGACCAGAGUCUGGGCCUCUGGUGUGGACCCCUGCCCCCUCCCCGCUCUGCGCGGCCGUUCUAGAGGUCCGGGUGGGAGCUGGAGGAGGAAAGCGGGAGGAGGCGGCGAGGCCGCGGGGCGGUAUGAG
rnacentral:lncRNA from 1 species